AAUUACCGCCCUUAUUUGAAACUAAAAUAUGUGGGAAACAUAUAUUUUUGGAAUACUUGUGAAAUAAGCUAUGUUAUGGCACCAGAUGUGACCUUCGGUAAACUUGAUAGUGACUGAUGUUGUCACUUAUUUUCAGUGAACUUGGUUGAUAAUAAAGCAAUGGGGUCUUUUGCAAAAUGUUAAGUGACAUAUGACCUUGAAAAAUGUCAACCAGAAAUGACCUUAAAUUAACCGGAAGUAGCCAAUUUUGUUCUUCUUUCGUGUAAAGGUUAUAGAAACCAUAUAUUUUUUUCAUAAGCAUUCAUAAACCUAUCAUUUAAGACCGAAAUGAUCUUGAAUAAAAUGGAAGUAGCUAAUUAUCUCCUUUAUUAUAGGCAAAAGUAUAUCGAAACCAUAUAUUUUUGGAAUCAGUGUAAAACAUCUAUCAUAUGAGACCGGAAUUGACAUUUUCUAAACCGAAAGUUCCAAAUUAUCGCCCUUUUUCAGGCAAAAGCAUAUCAAUACCAUAUUUGUUUGGAAUCUGUGUGAAUAGAUAUAUCAUAUUACACCGGAAGUAGCAAAUUAUCUUCCUUAUUUCAAACAAAAAAACAUUGCCACAUGUAUUACUUAUGUGAUGAAAAACGUGAAAACCCAGUCUGAAAGUGAAUGAGAGCACGAUGACAACCAUAUCAAAGGAGGAAGAAAACAAUGUCCGGCUGUAUUUAUUGCUGUCUAAGAUUUCCCCUCGUGCAGUACGAGCUGUAUUUGACCGUGAAUUUGAUCCAUCGUGCCUAGAUGUUUCUACCAAGAAUUCACACGACAAAUUGCAACACCUACGACAGAAGAGCAUCAUUAACCAGUCACAAUGGAAUCUUCUGUUUCCAAGUAAUGGAAGAUCAGAUUCACAAAAGUUUGACAUUACUUUAAUGAUUACAUUGCUUACAAAUCUUACACAGUUAUCUCAUUAUAAUAUUGUUCCAUCGGUAACUGACGAAUCACAAUCGGCUGAUUUGGCAAGGAUAAGAAAUUACAGGAACCACAUAUCGCACGUUAUUCUAAAUGGGAACGGCAAGAUAGAAAGUGCAUAUUUCACAGAGGCAUGGAAUGAUAUAAGUAGGGUAUGUAUAACUUAAUCAAAAAUAAAGAUAAUAAAUCUCACAACAGCAUGGAGUGAUGCCUGAAUUUUGAAAGGGAUGCAUUUUUGUGGACUAGGAACUGAACCUUUUUUCACAUUAAGUUGGGUCAAAUGUUUUCAUACGGUUGUUUGCAAACAACGAAAUCUUUAAUAUUACAUUCAUAUUUUAGUUGAGAAUAAAUCUUUAUGAAAGUGCAGGGUAUUUUAGUAACAUAUGUAUUGGUUUAUAACCCAAAUCAAGACACUCUGAGUUAUGAAUAAAGGUAUGUUUUAUAAUUAGAAGGGGGAGUGAGAUCAACAUAGAUAUAAAGUAUGUGUGCCAAAGUGAUCCCGACAUGUACGACAAUUAAAAAUAAUUAACGAAAAAUAGGUAUGACGCCAUUUACUUAACCAUAGAUUUCCAACGAGAGACAUGCAUAUACAGAAUGUGGCAUUUUUUUAAAUACUGGGUAGCGCUCAACCUCCCCUAACCUUGUAGAGUACAACGUAAAAUAAAACUGGAAAAAUCAGUUGGAAAGUGCUGGACACGUCAGUUUUUCGCAGGAAGCACAAAAACAACUAACACGAAGACAAACGACACCGAUCUAAGAGUAAGGUCAGUUAGAACUCAUCAAAGAGGGGCUGAAGAUACCAGAUGGACAUUCAAACUCAUAAAUCGGAAAUAAAUUGGCAACACUAUGGCUACAAACAGACAAUCAAUAGUACACUAAACACAACAUAGAAAAACUAACGACUUAGCAACACGAACUCCACCAAAAACUGGGGGUGAUCUCAUGUGCUCCGGAAAGGCAAGUAGAUUCUACUCCACAUGUGGUACCCGUCGUGUUGCUCAUCUUAGUACAAACACGAUAACAAGUCUAAUUCGAUAGAUCACAUUCUUGCCGGGACGGGAUUGUAGUUACGACAUUAGGAACAUAUCUGCUAUCAUCUGUGAAACGGAUAUUUCAUAACGGUCAACCAACUCGUGAAUCCGUCCGUAAAAUUUACGAAGGGAUGAUUUCAACUUCACCAUUUAAACUCUUGGUUUAAUAGCUUCCUUGUGAGCAGCAACCCUCUAUCAAGGAAAUCAUGAUAGUUAAUACCAGCCCGGGAAUAUCGUAUCAAUUGGGAGAUAUAUACUUCGUAGGCAGGCGCUGCUGGAAUGUUGUUACAUAGAAAUGGAAAGUUCACAAUUGGGAAGCUGAAAUCAUCUCUUUUGUCGUAAAGUUUUGAUUUCAACCGCCUCUCCGAAGGUCAAAGAUGGUAGGCUUAGAAAGGUAAUUAAAAAUAAACUAAAUUCUAAGGCAAAUGUAAAAAAAAGUGGAGUCCAUAAAACUGACUAAAUCAAACGCUAUCAAUCAACGAAGCAAGUGAAAAAACAACUACCCAUUACUACUAAUUGAUAAAUCAUAUUAACCAAGACUGAAAUCAGUACACAUCCAACUGAUUAACUUUAUAGACGCCAUAAAUAGUCUUAGUUUUUCGUAAAUGGUUUUGGCAUAAAUUAGGCCGUUACUUUUCUCAAUUGAAUUGUUUCAUAUUUUUCAUAUUGGAACUUGUAUAGCCGACUAUAUGGUAUGGGGUUUUCAUAUUAUUGAAGGCCGUACGGAUUAUUGCUUUCAUCGACUUUGUUUGAUCUUUUUGUGGAUAGUGGUCUCAUUGCAAAUCAUACCACAUCCCCUUAUGUUAUAUUAGAAAGACACGAUCAAAAUAUAGGUAUUGACAAGUUUAUAUUGGUAUAGCCAAACUUCUAUUCGAAUAUUACAUGUAUUUUCAAUUAUGAAAGAAUUAAGUUACCCAAAUCACGUUAUUUGUCACAACAAUAUCCCUGAUUUACUCAUUUAUCACGUAUGACGAUAUUUGCUAAGUUGAAAUCGGUAACGUCGCCACAGACAUGCAAGGUUGAUAACAACAUUAAUUUAAGAAUAUAUCGCUGGUUAUAGCCGACACUAACCGACAAAAAAUACAGAAAAAACAGAGAAAAAAAUCAGUGGGUCGUUAAUAAAUCCAUAUCACAACAUGUACAAAAGAUUCAUUAAUUAUCCUUUUAAUGGUUGUUUUGCAUGGCGGCAACUGAUGUCAAAACGGUUCAACCAUUUCUUUGAAUUAAAUAAUACUUUCAAAUUUGUUGAUUUUCAAUUUAUUGAUCAAUUGUUCUAAUACUAAGGAUUGUUAAGGAUUAUUGAUGCCUUUUCAGGAUAAUCGGUUUUGACAAAAAACGGACAUCAAAGAUAGCUGCCAUCAUUAAUAUAAAAAAGGAACCUUUGACAAAAAUAUAAUACAAAGGUUCAAUAUUUGUUUAAAUGAAUAUGUAGAACCGAAUUAGAAAUACAAAAUCAUGGAAACCUCUAAUUUUCAAUUGGCAAGCACACAGAAAUGCUCCUAGUUGUAAUUGACUUGCAACCAUAAUAUUUUAUGCAAAUUAAAAUAUUUUAUGGUCAGUUAAAUAUAUUUACAGGCUGUAGGACGACUAGGAGGAAGGACAUGCUUAGGGAAUGUACUGAGCUAAAAACAAAAUGUUUAGACACAUCAACAGUGCCCUGGAAUAUAAGAGUACAAAUUAUGCAGAUUUUGGAAGAUUGGCAGUUGAAUGAUGCUAAUUUUGUUGAGACCAGAGCUGCCAAACGGGUGCUAGAAUGUGUAGAAGAAAACAGCUGUGUUACUAUUACUUCCAGCUCGGGUGUUGGGAAAACAAUAACUUUACGACAUGUAUCAUUAAUAAUGGCACAGAAAGGGUACGAUAUAUUACUGGUGACAAGUCCACAUGAUAUUGUUAAGUUUUACAAUCCAAAUAAAAAAACAUUGUUUGUUAUUGAUGAUUUUUGUGGAACUUAUUCUAUAAACAAAUGUUAUUUUAAUAAUUUAGAACCCGUCCUAGGUCGUAUCAAAGAACUGAUUCAAAAUAAACUCACAAAAAUAAUUGUUGCAUGUCGAUUACAAGUCUACAAAGACGAAAGAUUUGAAUCAUUAUCAAUUUUUAGCAAAUGUGUGUGUAACCUUUUAUCAAACGAUUUAUGUUUAUCACAGAGAGAAAAACAGAAAAUAGCAGAAUCAUAUCUGUAAAACAAAAGCUUCAGAUAUUUUUCUGUAUUGUGAUUUAUAUGAUUGUUUUCCACUUAACUGUACAUUGUAUCGUGACAAUCCUGAACAUGAGAUUAUAGAUUUCUUCAAGAAUCCAUUUUCAGUGUAUGAUGCAGAAGUUGAAAACUUGUAUAAAAAGCGACAAUUUAAGAAAUAUUGUGCUUUGGCUUUGUUGGUCAUGUUUAACAACCAACUGAAAGAAGAAUGGUUGACAGGGGAGGUGAGUUCAAUUAUAAGAACGAUCAUAGAUAACACGUGUGAGGAAUGUAGAUUGGUGAGAGGUACAUCACGACUUGUCCUACUUGAUGAACUGAAAUCACUUGAACAUACUUUUAUAAAGAAAGAGCAAGAGGUAUACAAAACAAAGCAUGAUAAAAUAUUUGACUUUUUUUUGCCUAUUUCGGAAAAAAAAUGAUCCAGUGUUUGAUCAGAAAUGCAGACAGUGAGGUAAUUGGGCAAAGAUUUCUAUUAGAAAAAAAAGAUAGUUCUGAUCAGUUUAUCACCAUUGUACCACCUCAAAACCAUCAGAUGUACAUAAUGAGAAUGAUAGAUGACUGGGUUAAAGGUAAAGUACAGCAAGUGUUUAAUUACAUUAAUAUGAAGAUACCAACGUUUAGAGACAGAUUAUUGCGUCAUUUGGAAAACUGUGAUACUCUAUUCCAGAACGAACUAGCACAGAAGCUUGAUAUAGUAAACGAAGAUACUGUACUAGUACAGUGUUGUUACUAUAACGAUACUCAUUUCAUUCAGUGGUGUAUUCGUCAUGCUGUUGAUGUAAACCAGUGUAACUGUUUUGGUAUAUGUCCUUUAUACGUGUCAGUACAAGAAGGUCACAAAGAGGUACUAAAUGAAUUGAUUGAUAACCAGGCAGACGUUAAUAAGUGCAGAUCUGAUGGUGUAUCGCCUUUGUAUUUCGCUUGUGAGAAGAAUGACAUAGAGAUGGUAAUUGUUUUGUUGGAAAACAAUGCAGAUAUCAAUAAGUGUAUUUAUAAUGGCGAAUCUCCAUUGUUUAGGGCUUGUCUGAAAAAUCACUUAGAAAUAGUAAAGAUAUUAUUGAAAAACAAUGCAGACAUUAAUAAGCGAAAAGAUAAUGGAGCGUCUCCUAUGUACAUUGCUUGUCAGGAUAAUCAUAUAGAGAUAGUAAAAGUUUUACUGGACAACAAGGCAGAUAUUAAUUUGCGA